rnacentral:sRNA from 1 species
UUAUGUCGGACUCCGGCGCCUCCGGAGAGG